AUAGCGUAUAUUAAAGUUGUUGCGGUUAAAAAGCUCGUAGUUGAACCUUGGACCUGGCUGAUCUGUCCUCCUAAUCGCGCGUACGGAUUCGGUCGGGUCUUUCCUUCUGGGGAACCCUAUGUCCUUUAUUGGGUGUAGUGGGGAACCAGGACUUUUACCUUGAAAAAAUUAGAGUGUUCAAAGCAGGCCUUUGCUCGAAUACAUUAGCAUGGAAUAAUAGAAUAGGACAUCGGUUCUAUUUUGUUGGUUUCUAGGACCGCUGUAAUGAUUAAUAGGGAUAGUCGGGGGCGUCCGUAUUCAAUUGUCAGAGGUGAAAUUCUUGGAUUUAUUGAAGACGAACUACUG
rnacentral:rRNA from 1 species